rnacentral:rRNA from 1 species
UACGGAGGGUGCGAGCGUUGUCCGGAAUCACUGGGCGUAAAGGGCGCGUAGGCGGCAGGCCAAGCGUGCGGUGAAAGUCCGGGGCUCAACCCCGGAUCUGCCGUGCGGACUGGUUUGCUAGAGCACUGUAGAGGCGAGUGGAAUUCCGGGUGUAGCGGUGGAAUGCGUAGAGAUCCGGAAGAACACCGGUGGCGAAGGCGGCUUCCUGGCCUAAGACUGACGCUGAGGUGCGAAAGCGUGGGGAGCAAACAGG